UAGCAUAUUUUAUAUUACAUUCAUUUUUAUUAAAAUGUAAUAUUAUGAAUAUAGAAAAUAGUGAUUACAUAGUUGACAGUACACUGGCACUAUUCUGUAAUUCUGAAUCCUUUACUCCGUUGGACCAAUAUUUCCUAAUAAAUUGGAAUUUUAAUCCUGAUUGAUUUAAUGAAAUUUCUGAUUUCAUAUGUAUAAUGUGUAUAUUUCAAUUUAAUACCAAUUGAUUACCUACUACUUCAUAUCUUAAAAUUCAUUUAACAGUCCCCAUAACUUAAAUUUUUAAAUUUAAAUAUGUUCGAUCUUUGUUAAGUAGGUAACUUUUGUGUUACUUUAAUUUAUAAUAUACACAAACAACAUUGUUAUUUAUCUAUACAAUUAUCAUGUUUAUAAAUGGCAUUUAUUUUAUUUGUCUAUACUUGUUGACGAUCUCGCAUACACUCGAAAGCUCGGAGAUAGUCAUAACAAUUUUGAGUCAACCAAAUGACUAUAAUGUAGAACAAGCACUCAGAUUAAAAAAUAAUAUAUUGAAACAAACAAAAUCGAUUAAAGAUCCACGACUAAGUGGAGUAUAUAUGCUUCAUGAACAAUUUCCAGAACCUGGAAGUUGGACUAUUAUUCCAAUUAUAAAACUAUUGUAUAAAAAUAAUAAAAAUGCAAAGUGGUUUUUGUUUUGUGAAGAAAACGCUUAUGUAAAUUAUGACAAUUUACAAUUACUUUUGAAAGAAAAGAACUCAAGUGAAUCUAUAUGGAUGGGAUAUGGUGUAAAAGAUAAACAUCCCACAAUAAUUCAUCAUUAUGCAUUUGAAGAAAAUGAAAAUGAAAGAGUUACUUACCCUUUGUUUGCUGCAGGAUUUGUUAUAUCUGCUGAGCUAUUAAAAAAUAUUGUCAAUUUAAAUCUAGAAACUUUGGGUUCUGAUUUUUCAAUCGAUGCAUCUUAUGAAUUAGCACUAGUAAUCAAUAAAAAAAUUCAACAUCUACCUUUGAAAUUUUGUUUGAAACUUUCACCAGACUGUAUUGUUCAUCCUUUGUCUGAAAGAAGUGACUGUACACAUUAUGGAAAGGUGACAAAAGAUUCAAUAUAUUUUGCUGUGAAAACUUGCAGUAAAUUUCAUUCAGAUAGAGUACCAGUAUUACAAUCUACUUGGGGCCGAGAUGCCGUGCAUAUCGAAUACUUUAGUGAUAAACUUGACGAUACAAUACCAACAACUGUAUUAGAUGUACCAAAUACUGAAAGAGGACACUGUCAAAAGACUAUUACAAUUUUCAAAUACUUAUCUAAAAAACUUUUGUCAAAUAAAGCUGUGAAAUGGAUUGCAUUGACAGAUGAUGAUACUCUUUUGAGUGUUCCUCGGUUAGCAUCAAUAUUGAGCUGUUGGAAUGGUCAGCAAAUUGCACUUGGUCAAAGAUAUGGUUACAAUAUUCGAGGAGAUCCGUCUUUAGGAUACAAUUAUCUAACUGGCGGAGGAGGUAUUAUAUUUAAUGUGGCACUGGUCCAUAAAUUGACCACUUGCAAAUGUUAUGCAUUUGAUGCACCCGAUGAUAUGGUAUUAGGCAUGUGUUUAAAAGCUUUAAAUGCUACAGUGGUUCAUUCUCCAGUUUUCCAUCAAGCUAGACCACAAGAUUAUGCUGACGAGUAUUUAGAAUCUUAUCCAAUGGUAUCUUUUCAUAAACAUUGGAUGAUUGAUCCAAUAGAAGUUUAUCGUCAUUGGCUUUAUCAAGACUCUUCUUUUGGACAUGAUGAGCUUUAAGGAUACAAAAGAGCACAAGACUGCACUUAUAGAAUGGAGAGUUCAGAAAAAAUUAUAUAAAAUUUACCCGUCCGUUUGAAGCAGCCAGCACUGAAUUAAGUAUAAAAUCUGGAGGCACUAUAGCAUCAGCAAGUGUCACUGCUUCAUUUUUAAGACUUGAACAUAAAUCUAUUAUGGAUCCUUUAACUAUUAUAGAUGCCAGUGGCCCAUUAGCAUAGCCACCUAUUAAAAAAAAAAAAAAAACAUGUAUUAAUUAUUAUUAAUAAUAAAAACGUUUAAUAUUCUCAA
rnacentral:misc_RNA from 1 species